rnacentral:rRNA from 1 species
UAACACAUGCAAGUCGAACGAUAAAAUUGUUUGCGAGGGUCAGAGGUGAUGACGGACGUGAAAGCUAUUGGUCUCCCCAGUAACAAGUCUUUAAAGAGAUAUUGAAAAGCCAAUAAGACUGUA